GUGAAUUAAACAAACAAUAUUUAUAGUAUUCAUAUAUUACACCUUAUAAGAGUUGCUUUUAAAUAUAUAAUAAACUUAUGGUAGUGAACAUUGCUUAAAUCUUUUUCAUCAAAAUUUUAAUUCCCUCCAAAUAUUUUAAUAAAACUUACUUUCCUUGCUAAACCAAAAACAAGAAAGGAAACACGAGCAAUAAUUGAUUCAUCACCUUCCUCACUAACAUGAAUUCAAGUAUACUUAGAAACAGAACUCAAUUCCUACCAUUUUAGAAUCAAAAUCCUAACCCCAACCUUAGCUCAAUUUCCCCAAUUUCACGACAUUGACUCGCGUUCUGUGUUCCUUUCUCUCGACGUCAUGGUAUUCUUCACUGCUCUGCUCGCGUCAUGUUCUGCUCCGCUGCUUGCAUCACGUUCUGCUCUGCUCUGCUUUGCUCGUGUCAUGUGCUUCUUCUCACAUCGUGUUCUACUCUACUCCGCCAUGUUCGAUCUUCAGCUCGCGUCAUUCUGAAACAUUCGCUUUGCUCCGCCGUAGUGUCGUCCACAUCUUCCUCUCAAAAUUUUACUGCAUGCUGAUCUAUAAUUUGGACAGCACAGGCUUUGCAAUUCUUUUGCAGUUUCAUUUAAGCUCUAUGAUUUGGACAGCACAUGCUUUAUAGAAUGCCAAGAGGUAGCUAUUCUAUUUAUUUGAUGCUUCAGGAUGUAAGUAAGCUAUUUUUUUAUGGAGGAAGAGGUUGAUAGAUUCCGCAAAGUUCAAGAGAGUUUCUUGCCAAGUUCUUCAACUCUCAGUAUACUUGAAUUCAUAUUGCUGAUAAUGGCAAAACUCUGUCGUUGUUCAUAGAGCUUCAAACCUUAGGUGACAGGACAUGAAGAAGCUGGCAUUUGAUCACAUAAUUCAUAGUAUUAAGUGAACCAGAAGUAUAAGAAAAAAGCGAAGAACCAUGCUCUGAAAGUGUCUUGUUUUCAAUGCUAUAGGAAGAGGAUGAAGCAUGAGUUAAGAAAGCGCUUGUGACACUAUGUGAACUUCACAGAAGAAAAGAUUGGUUUCACGAGAGAACAACUAAUAUAAUGUUCACUAUUUGUUUCCAUCCAGCACCAAGGAUUUUAUUUUCCCCUUUAUAUUUUGUGAUUGUGCGUCUGUUUUGAAAUUCUGAUCUUAGGCAUAAAGAUAGUUUUGGGUGUUAUCAGGAUCAUGAAAGC